rnacentral:misc_RNA from 1 species
UAAUAUAUAGUUAUUUACCCAAAUGAAUUUUAACCAUUUUGGUCUUGGAGAUUCAUAUGUUUUGGAAGCCCUAUUUUGGUAGAAGCCUGAUUCAGUGAUUACUUUCCUGCAAUUUUCCAAGCAGCAAACUCUAAAAUCGAACACUGUCCAGUUACUAUUGAGGAACGAGUGGAUGCUUAACGCAGCCUUAUUAUCCGCGAGACCAACACCGGGCGACUUCCUUCCGGAAGAUGAUGGCUCUGCCGCGAAGCCUCAGCGCAUCAAAAUUGCCAAGGCUACUGAAGAUAGCGAUAAGAAGGUCGCGAGCAGGAGAAUUAAAGAUGUGGAAAUAAGUGUUCCUGUGGUGCAUGGAACAAUUGCAUUUUACCUUGGUCGAAAGGCCAGUGAGUCUCAAUCACAUAAGUGGACAGUCUAUGUACGUGGGGCAACAAAUGAAGACCUGGGAGUGGUGAUAAAGCGCGUUGUAUUCCAAUUGCAUCCCAGUUUCAAUAACCCUACAAGAGUGGUAGAAUCACCACCUUUUGAGUUGUCGGAAUGUGGCUGGGGUGAAUUCGAAAUUGUCAUCACUCUUGUCUUCCACAGUGAUGUCUGUGAUAAGCAGUUGGACUUGUAUCACCAUUUGAAGUUGUACCCUGAAGAUGAAACUGGUCCUCAGUCAACCAAGAAGCCUGUUGUUGUGGAAUCCUACAAUGAGAUUGUCUUUCCUGAUCCUUCUGAAAAUUUUUUGGCUCGUGUGCAGAAUCAUCCUGCUGUAAUUGUACCUCGGCUGCCUGCUGGGUUUACCUUGCCUACUCCAGCUCUUGUUGAAAGUAUGUGCGGCAAGGGGAGAGGAGAUACCAAAGAUCAUCCACUAAGUCACUGGUUUUUGAAUUUUUCAGAAGCAGAUGAGCUUUUGAAACUUGCUGCAGCUCGUCAGCAGGUGCAAGCUCAUAUUGUUAAGCUGAGAAGACAAUUGAAUGUGAUAGAUGGGCUACCUCAAGGUCCUCAACUGUCUUUAAUGGCCUCUGCUUAUGAUUUAUGAAUGUACAUGAUCAAGCUGGAUUAUUUUGGAACUUCUUUUUCUAAUUUAAAUCAUGGAAGACAAUUGCCCUUGGUAAUGAGAUGUGAAGCUUGUGGAAUAGCCCACAUCUAUGGACUUUCUUUGCAGUGUUUGUUUUAGUUUUGCUAAGUUCUACUUCUGUAAAGGGC